UAGGGAAUCUUCCACAAUGGACGCAAGUCUGAUGGAGCAACGCCGCGUGAGUGAAGAAGGUUUUCGGAUCGUAAAGCUCUGUUGUUGGUGAAGAAGGAUAGAGGUAGUAACUGGCCUUUAUUUGACGGUAAUCAACCAGAAAGUCACGGCUAACUACGUGCCAGCAGCCGCGGUAAUACGUAGGUGGCAAGCGUUGUCCGGAUUUAUUGGGCGUAAAGCGAGCGCAGGCGGAAGAAUAAGUCUGAUGUGAAAGCCCUCGGCUUAACCGAGGAACUGCAUCGGAAACUGUUUUUCUUGAGUGCAGAAGAGGAGAGUGGAACUCCAUGUGUAGCGGUGGAAUGCGUAGAUAUAUGGAAGAACACCAGUGGCGAAGGCGGCUCUCUGGUCUGCAACUGACGCUGAGGCUCGAUAGCAUGGGUAGCGAACAGG
rnacentral:rRNA from 1 species